AGCAGAGAACGGAGUACUCGCCAUCAUGCGAUUCUUUGUGCCUUUGUACCUUGCCAUUUGCGGCGCUUUCUUCGCCCUCCGCUUUCGCGUGGCUUUGGUUUCAAUUUCUAAAUGUUGUCACCAACAAAAGUCGUCGGCCGCACAGUGGGCCAUCGAGUGGCGUAGCACGCCCAAAGUGCCAGGUGAAAUCGCACGUGCAUGCCCUACCUCAAAGCGAAAAGUGUGCAUAGAGCGAUUUUCGAAUGGAUAGUUAAUUGCAUCUUAUGAUGAAGGAAGUUUAAAGUUAUAGUUCAUUACUCAUUGAUAGAUAAGCCAAUUUGCUAUGAUUUUGCCUGAGAUACAACUUGAGAUAUUAAAACUAUCAAUAUUAGAAUAGCAUAUAAUAAUAAUAUUAAGUCAGUCAGUCAAUUGGAACUUGUUUAAGCCCCAACAUUUCACAAUACUAAGCAUUCCUAAUGUUUUAGAUGUAGUCUAUUUAAAUGAAAUUAGAACUAGAAC
ensembl:ncRNA sisRNA:2 stable intronic sequence RNA 2